AGGGWWUUUAUUUUUUUAAUGUUUAUGUUAUUUGAAUAARMCAUUCAAAUAACAUAAAAAAKAAAAUAKAUAUUGACAUGGAUUAAACAAAGAUAUAUAUUAUUCUAUGUUGCAUAAACAAAUUGGCAAAGUAGAGAUGGAAGAUAAAAAUAUGGUCAAAGUAAUAAGAGUCUAUGGUGAAUGCCUAGGAGCUUUAAGGCGAAGAAGGUCGUGGUAAGCUGCGAAAAGCUUGGGGGAGAAGCAAACAUUUAUUGAUCCCAAGAUUACCGAAUGGARUAAUCCAGCUAGCAAGAUGCUAGCUAUCUAUUAUCUAAAUAAUASAGGCGAUACCAGG
rnacentral:misc_RNA from 1 species